CAGCCGCCGCGGUAAUACGAAGGGUGCAAGCGUUAAUCGGAAUUACUGGGCGUAAAGCGUGCGUAGGCGGUUUGUUAAGUCUGCUGUGAAACCCCCGGGCUCAACCUGGGAAUGGCAGUGGAUACUGGCAAGCUAGAGUGUGUCAGAGGAUGGUGGAAUUCCCGGUGUAGCAGUGAAAUGCGUAGAUAUGCGGAGGAACACCGAUGGCGAAGGCAGCCCCCCGGGCCAAUACUGACGCUCAUGCACGAAAGCGUGGGGAGCAAACAGGAUUAGAUACCCGUGUAGUCCCUGUCUCUUAUAA
rnacentral:rRNA from 1 species